AUUGAACGCUGGCGGCAUGCCUUACACAUGCAAGUCGAACGGCAGCACGGGUGCUUGCACCUGGUGGCGAGUGGCGAACGGGUGAGUAAUACAUCGGAACAUGUCCUGUAGUGGGGGAUAGCCCGGCGAAAGCCGGAUUAAUACCGCAUACGAUCUACGGAUGAAAGCGGGGGACCUUCGGGCCUCGCGCGAUAGGGUUGGCAGAUGGCUGAUUAGCUAGUUGGGGGGGUAAAGGCCUACAAAGGGGACGAUCAGUAGCUGGUCUGAGAGGAGGACCAGCCACACUGGGACUGAGCCACGGCCCAGACUCCUACGGGAGGCAGCAGUGUGGAAUUUUGGACAAUGGGCGAAAGCAUGAUCCAGCAAUGCCGCGUGUGUGAAGAAGGCCUUCGGGUUGUAAAGCACUUUUGUCCGGAAAGAAAUCCUUGGCCCUAAUACGGUCGGGGGAUGACGGUACCGGAAGAAUAAGCACCGGCUAACUACGUG
rnacentral:rRNA from 1 species